rnacentral:rRNA from 1 species
UACGUAGGUGGCAAGCGUUGUCCGGAAUUAUUGGGCGUAAAGCGCGCGCAGGUGGUUCCUUAAGUCUGAUGUGAAAGCCCACGGCUCAACCGUGGAGGGUCAUUGGAAACUGGGGAACUUGAGUGCAGAAGAGGAAAGUGGAAUUCCAAGUGUAGCGGCGAAAUGCGUAGAGAUUUGGAGGAACACCAGUGGCGAAGGCGACUUUCUGGUCUGUAACUGACACUGAGGCGCGAAAGCGUGGGGAGCGAACAGG